rnacentral:rRNA from 1 species
AUGCAUGUCUCAGCGCAAACGGAACAACAGUGGGUCUGUGAAUGGCUCCUUACAUCAGCAGUCAUCCAAGCGGCAAAGUGUNNGUUGGCACCACCGUCAUAGGCCAGGUGCCCAGUUGGACAUCCACGAAAACCUUGUGGCUAAUACACGUCUACAGGAGUCGGCUGUGACACACAGGCCCUCUCGGCUAUUCGGCUGACGCUCUGACAGUCCGAUUGCCACCGGCUGGUCGCAAGACCAAGCACCCGGCGCAGAGGGUAGCGUGUUCGUGGCUGACUCAGGCUGGUCCAUCUGGAGCAGGACACACCAGCGCUGGCUGUGAAAGUCGGUGGCCCCGUGCCACGGUAAGCUUGGCCGCAGGAACUUCUGACCUAUCAGCUUGGAUUGUGGUGUAGUGGACCACAAUGGCCUUGACGGGUAACGGAGAAUCAGGGUUCGAUUCCGGAGAGGGAGCCUGAGAGACGGCUACCACUACCAAGGUGGGCAGCAGGCGCGCAAAUUGCCCAAUGCAAGACCGGUCUGCGAGGCAGCGAAGAACUGUAGCAAUCCCGCUGGGUACUUCACCCAGUGGGACUUGGAAUGGAUGCAAUCCAAACACAGCCAUGAGUAUCAACUGGAGGGCAAGUCUGGUGCCAGCAGCUGCGGUAAUUCCAGCUCCAAGGGCGUAUACUAUCAUUGCUGCUGUUAAAACACCUGUAGUCUGCCACUGGGUCGCAGGGUUGCUGGGCGGCCUGUCCUGGGCGGCGCGGGCGUUCGGUGGUUCGCCAUCGGGCGUCGGCCGUCCGGACGGGGUAAAACCCCCAGCAGCAUGUCCUGCGCCCGUCUUCCCGAUGAUGGUGCGAAAAACCUUACAAGCUCCUGCCGAAAGCCCCCUUCACUGGGGGCCGAGAGGUGGUUGUGCCUCGCAAGCGGGCGUGGACGGAUCCUGGCACGGUCCCCGUGACCGUGCAAGCGGAAGCCAGCGUCCACCACCGGAGCCGACUGUCAGUGACACCCUGGAAAACUCAGUGUGCUCAACGCGUCCACCCACGGCUGGAUGCUCAUCCAUGGAACGUCAAAGCAUCGACCGAGCAAGGAACGAGGAGUUGUGCUGGUCUUGGAGCCUGCUCUGGGCAAUGUGGUGCAUGGUCUUGACCGACACGUGCCGUGUCGGGGCCGCGGGCGGUGUCCCCGUUCCCGCGUCACCCCGCGCACGCGCACGCCGGCUCUCUGAGUGUGUAUCAAGCGGAUCCGAUGGGACCGUUCAGGGUGAAAGGUACUGCAGCGCCAGAGGUGAAAUUCUUAGAUCGCUGCAAGACGCCCGGCAGCGAAGGCGUUCUGCAAGGACGUGUUCGUCGAUCAAGGAUGAGAGUCUGGGGAGCGAAGAUGAUCAGACACCGUCGUAGUCCAGCACUGUAAACGAUGCCAGCAAGGCAUCGGCUGGGAAAGUCCAACGACCCAGCCGGUGCCAUGCCCCCUACACCGAGAAAUCCACAGCCUGUGGGUUCAGGGGGGAGUACCGUCGCAAGGCUGAAACUUAAAGGAAUUGACGGAAUGGCACCACAAGGUGUGGAGUAUGCGGCUUAAUUUGACUCAACACGGGGAACGUUACCAGGUCAGGACACAGCCGGGAUGGACAGAUUGAGAGCUCUUUCUUGAUCCUGUGGACGGUGGUGCAUGGCCGCUCCUGAUUGGUGGAGUGAUUUGUCUGGUUGAUUCCGAUAACGAGUGAGAUCUCUGCCUCCGAAUAGCCUGCGGCUCGCAUCUGGUAGGGCACAUGCGACCGCGGCCGGAACCCUGCAUCCAAAGCGGUCGGCCCUCGCGGUCGGCCGUGUGGGGGGAAGGCCCGGACGCACCCGAGAGCCGCAUGCUCCGCUUCUCUGAGGUGCUGCGUACACUGCCAAGUGCGCGCAUGCUAGAGCCAACAGCAGGUCUGUGAUGCUCCCAGAUGUCCUGGGCCGCACGCGCACUACAUUGACACAGUGAAUGAGUCAGCCCGCCCGCCGGGCCCUGGUCGGAAGUGACUGGGAAAUCUUGCGAGUCUGUGGCCGUACUGGGGAUAGAUGAUUGCAACUGUCUGCCUUGAACGCGGAAUACCUAGUAUGCGCAGGUCAUCAGCCUGCACGGAUUGUGUCCCUGCCAUUUGUACACACCGCCCGUCGUUGCUACCGAUGGUAGCCGGAUAGAGCCAUCGGGAGGUCGGACCACCCUUCGCGGGGCCAAGCUGAAAUCGGGCGAUGUCCCGUUGCUAGAGGAAGCAAAA